AUGUCGAGCUCUCUUCGACGGCCAGCGGCUGCCAGACCGAUCUCCAAACCAUCCGCCAAGGGCCUCAACAGCCAUAACCGAUGGUCCUCUCUAGCCAAUCUGAUACCGGAAGAAGAGGAAAGCUAUUAUCAAGAUGACCGGCUCAGCAAUUUGCCUGAUGAUGUGUUGCUAAAUAUCGUAGAGCGACUUGAUAUUGCGGAUGCUGCAAGAACCAGCACCCUCUCCAGACGUUGGAAGCCGAUCCCCUCUAUGCUCCCUGAAAUUUCCAUAAAGGUUGGUUCCGUCGACCCGGAGCACGACAGGACCUGCAAUGAGGUGGUUCGGGCCAAUGCAACCAUCCUUGGGGCGACUAGGAGCCUUCUGGAAAACAGGACGGCAAAUCUACACGCCAUUCGGUGCAUGAGAUUCUUCUUGGGAGAUGCAUCCACUACAGUUGGCCAGACUGUCAGGAACACCAUAGCGACCAAGAAGGUUGGUUUGGCUGAGUUUGAUAUCUUGACAGAGAAGGUGACUAAUAGAUGCACCGAUGACGAUAUGGUCACUUACGGGAGGCAGCUCAUGGCAUUUGUUGAUGCUUGUCCAGACACAUUCAGUGGUCUCACGCGACUCAAGCUGGAGAAUGUGAUGCUAGGUGGAUCAGACUUCCCUAAAAUCUUCAGCAUAUGCAAGCGGCUGGUGUUCCUCCGCUUGGACAACUGCGACAUGGGGUUGAUGUCCUUGCUAGAAUUGCAACACCCGCAGCUCCGCGAACUCGAGAUGGAAAAUAUUCAAUUUGAGAGGGUUGAUCUGAACUGUCUACCAGAGCUCACAACGCUGACUUUUUCUUGGUGGGCCUCUCCGCGUGAUCCUUUAUCUUUUGGUUAUGUCCCACUGCUCCAGACCGUGAGCAUCGCUAAUACCACUCUUUCAUACCACAAGAUGCUCAAGUUAAGUGAAGUCCUUGGCAAUGCCACCAUAAGCAACCUGCAUUUGAACUUUGAAAGUGAAAAGAUUUGGGUUAAACCUGAAGGCCCGAAAGAAUUGUCGCAGGUGUUCAACAAACUAAGGCUUGUGCAUUUGGCAGACAUUUCAAAAGACUGUGAUCUGACCUGGACGAUGUUCGUUCUGCAAGGCGCACCUUCCCUUGAGGAGCUACGCAUCACGGUGCGGGAUAGGUGCCUACUCAUCAGGGAUAAGACCGAGAGGAAGUUGCAAAGGUACAGCGAGGAGAAGAAGGACGCGGGCACAGAGUGGGAAACGUCUGCAUCAGAUUUCAAGCACCACAAUCUUUCGGUGCUCAGGAUCAUUGGGUUUCAAUCACAAGACAAGUUCGUGGACUAUGUCACUGCUGUCAUGGAAGCAGCUGUGAAUCUGAAGGACAUAUACCUGCUUGAGAAACCAAUGUGUGACACGUGUACCCGCAUGAAGAUCAAGGACAGAUACCCACGGACAACAAAGCGGAGGAACUUGAUCAGGAGUUAUUUCAACAUGGAUAUGCACCCGCUUUUAAGGAUUCACUUCCCGGUUCGAACAAAAUAA
rnacentral:rRNA from 1 species